UACGUAGGGGGCUAGCGUUGUUCGGAUUUACUGGGCGUAAAGCGCACGCAGGCGGUUUGUUAAGUCAGGGGUGAAAUCCCGGAGCUCAACUCCGGAACUGCCUUUGAUACUGGCAAUCUUGAGACUGGAAGAGGUUAGUGGAAUUCCCAGUGUAGAGGUGAAAUUCGUAGAUAUUGGGAAGAACACCAGUGGCGAAGGCGGCUAACUGGUCCAGUACUGACGCUGAGGUGCGAAAGCGUGGGGAGCAAACAGG
rnacentral:rRNA from 1 species